UACAGAGGGUGCAAGCGUUGUUCGGAAUUACUGGGCGUAAAGGGUUCGUAGGUGGCCAACUAAGUCAGACGUGAAAUCCCUCAGCUUAACUGGGGAACUGCGUCUGAUACUGGUUGGCUUGAGUGCAGGAGAGGAACGCGGAAUUCCAGGUGUAGCGGUGAAAUGCGUAGAUAUCUGGAGGAACACCGGUGGCGAAGGCGGCGUUCUGGACUGCAACUGACACUGAGGAACGAAAGCCAGGGGAGCAAACGGG
rnacentral:rRNA from 1 species